rnacentral:rRNA from 1 species
CAAACUAAAGAUGGCGACCGGCGCACGGGUGAGUAACACGUAUCCAACCUGCCGAUAACUCGGGGAUAGCCUUUCGAAAGAAAGAUUAAUAUCCGAUAGUAUAUUAAAACCGCAUGGUUUUACUAUUAAAGAAUUUCGGUUAUCGAUGGGGAUGCGUUCCAUUAGUUCGUUGGCGGGGUAACGGCCCACCAAGACUACGAUGGAUAGGGGUUCUGAGAGGAAGGUCCCCCACAUUGGAACUGAGACACGGUCCAA